CUUUUCUUUUUUUAUUCUCUUCUCACUAUGUUCUCAGUCUCGCUCCCCCCUCUCGAUGAAUCAUUCAGUUCUCACUUCUCAAAUAAUUAAUUUUUCAAUCAGGAAGGUGGUGAGCUCCUCCUGCCCUGCGGCUGCAGGUUGUGAUGUUGCAGAAAGGGGUAAUCCAGGAAAUGAAGGUGGUGAGCUCCUCCUGCCCUGCGGCUGCAGGUUGCGAUGUUGCAGAAAGGGGUAAUCCAGGAUAUAUACGGAAAUCGUGGACUGAAGUGAAGUUAAUGCAAUGAUACAACAUACCAGGCAGCCAAGCAAGAUCACACUAAGUUACACUACUCACUAGCGUGCUGACAUUGUUAGCCUCUGUGACUGUUAGGCAUUGGUUUUUUGGUUUUUUGGCUUUAUUAUAGCAUGUUGUGUACUUUCUUUUGCAUUCACUGGACUGAGAGUAAACUCUUUAACUCUAAACAUUGUGCUUUUGUGGGUUUGUACUUUUCACGGAACAUUUUGAACUUAAAAAGACAAAGACUCUAUUUUUUUCGA